rnacentral:tRNA from 1 species
GCCGACGCGCUACCGCUGCGCGCCCCGCCACCCGCCCGGCGUACGACGUCGCCUACUUCCCCUGCUCGCGCUU